AUCUCUCCAAAUAUUCAGCCAAGCAAGGAAGAGAGGGAAAGAAAGGAAGAACAAACCCUAGGUGAAGAAUUUCAAGAGAAAAGUGUGGGAAAUUCAAGGAAACAAGUGACAAAAGGUAAAAUUUCUUGAUUUUGACUUGUAAUCUACCUUUCCCAUGUAUUUCUCCUUAUUUUUCAUGGUUAAAUUACAUGUUUUCAUGAUGAAUUCAUGGCUAGUCAAAAUGGGUAAGGAGAGAGAACGAUGUUGG
rnacentral:lncRNA from 1 species